AGAGUUUGAUCCUGGCUCAGAACGAAUGCUGGCGGCGUGGAUAAGACAUGCAAGUUGAACGGUUGAUUCAGGGUAGCAAUAUUCUGGGUUAGCAGUGGCGUAAGGGUGCUUAACACGUGGGUAAUCUGCCGCGAAGUGUGGGAUAACUCGCUGAAAGGCGAGCUAAUACCGCAUGUGAUCUUCUUGAGGCAUCUCAAGGAAUUCAAACAUGGGUCGCAAGACCUGUGGUUUCGCGAUGAGCCCGCGGCCUAUCAGCUAGUUGGCGGGGUAAAAGCCCACCAAGGCUAAGACAGGUAGCUGGUCUGAGAGGACGACCAGCCACACUGGAACUGAGACACGGUCCAGACACCUACGGGUGGCAGCAGUCGAGAAUUUUUCACAAUGGGGGAAACCCUGAUGGAGCGACGCCGCGUGGGGGAUGAAGGGCUUCGGUUCGUAAACCCCUGUCAUUGGCGAACAAGUGUUGCGCUCUAAUACAGUGUAACUUGAUAGUAGCCGAAGAGGAAGGGACGGCUAACUCUGUGCCAGCAGCCGCGGUAAUACAGAGGUCCCGAGCGUUGUUCGGAUUCACUGGGCGUAAAGGGUGCGUAGGUGGUUGGUUAAGUUUGAGGUGAAAGCUCCGAGCUCAACUCGGAAAAUGCCUUGAAGACUAUCUGACUAGAGGAUUGGAGGGGAGAUUGGAAUUCUCGGUGUAGCAGUGAAAUGCGUAGAUAUCGAGAGGAACACCAGUGGCGAAGGCGAAUCUCUGGACAAUUCCUGACACUGAGGCACGAAAGCCAAGGGAGCAAACGGGAUUAGAUACCCCGGUAGUCUUGGCUGUAAACGGUGCGCACUUGCUGUGAGCGGAUUCGACCCCGCUCGUGGCGUAGUUAACACGAUAAGUGCGCCGCCUGGGAAGUACGGUCGCAAGAUUAAAACUCAAGAAAUUGACGGGG
rnacentral:rRNA from 1 species